rnacentral:rRNA from 1 species
UACGGAGGAUGCAAGCGUUAUCCGGAAUUAUUGGGCGUAAAGCGUCCGCAGGUGGCACUUCAAGUCUGUCGUCAAAGACCGGGGCUUAACCCUGGAAAGGCGAUGGAAACUGAAAGGCUAGAGAGAGGUAGGGGUAGAGGGAAUUCCCAGUGUAGCGGUGAAAUGCGUAGAGAUUGGGAAGAACAUCGGUGGCGAAGGCGGCCCCCUGGACCGGUACUGACGCUGAGGCGCGAAAGCGUGGGUAGCAAACGGG